GCACCUUAAACAAACGGUGCCGGGUUUGGCGACCCGCUUCAUACAAGCGCACGGCCGCGCAUGCGGCUUUUUU
rnacentral:sRNA from 1 species